AAACAGCCCCCUUAUGUAUUGGAUCUUUGACAGCUUUGGCCCCCAAGACCACUUUUGACUUAGUCUUUGCUGAUGUGGCACCCACAAUGGUCGACAUGUGGCACCUCACUUAAGGGAUGUGGGUGCCAAGUCAGCGAAGACUAAGUCUAAAGUGGCAUUGGGGGCCAAAACUGCCAAAGAUCCAAUACAUAGAGGGUUGUUU
rfam:Medicago truncatula strain A17 chromosome 4, whole genome shotgun sequence.